rnacentral:rRNA from 1 species
UACGAAGGGGGCUAGCGUUGCUCGGAAUCACUGGGCGUAAAGGGUGCGUAGGCGGGUCUUUAAGUCAGGGGUGAAAUCCUGGAGCUCAACUCCAGAACUGCCUUUGAUACUGAGGAUCUUGAGUUCGGGAGAGGUGAGUGGAACUGGCGAGUGUAGAGGUGAAAUUCGUAGAUAUUCGCAAGAACACCAGUGGCGAAGGCGGCUCACUGGCCCGAUCUGACGCUGAGGCACGAAAGCGUGGGGAGCAAACAGG